UACGGGGGGGGCUAGCGUUGUUCGGAAUUACUGGGCGUAAAGGGCUCGUAGGCGGCCAACUAAGUCAUACGUGAAAUCCCUCAGCUUAACUGGGGAACUGCGUGUGAUACUGGAUGGCUUGGAUUUGGGAGAGGGAUGCGGAAUUCCAGGUGUAGCGGUGAAAUGCGUAGAUAUCUGGAGGAACACCGGUGGCGAAGGCGGCAUCCUGGACCAAUAUUGACGCUGAGGAGCGAAAGCCAGGGGAGCAAACGGG
rnacentral:rRNA from 1 species